AGCGAACGCUGGCGGCAGGCUUAACACAUGCAAGUCGAGCGCCUGUAGCAAUACAGGAGCGGCAGACGGGUGAGUAACACGUGGGAACGUACCCUUUGGUUCGGAACAACACAGGGAAACUUGUGCUAAUACCGGAUAAGCCCUUCGGGGGAAAGAUUUAUCGCCAAAGGAUCGGCCCGCGUCUGAUUAGCUAGUUGGUGAGGUAAUGGCUCACCAAGGCGACGAUCAGUAGCUGGUCUGAGAGGAUGAUCAGCCACACUGGGACUGAGACACGGCCCAGACUCCUACGGGAGGCUG
rnacentral:rRNA from 1 species